rnacentral:rRNA from 1 species
UACAGAGGGGGCAAGCGUUGUUCGGAAUUACUGGGCGUAAAGGGCGCGUAGGCGGCCAACUAAGUCAAACGUGAAAUCCCCCGGCUCAACCGGGGAACUGCGUCUGAUACUGGAUGGCUUGAAUCCGGGAGAGGGAUGUGGAAUUCCAGGUGUAGCGGUGAAAUGCGUAGAUAUCUGGAGGAACACCGGUGGCGAAGGCGGCUUUCUGGACAGAUACCGACGCUGAGGCACGAAAGCUAGGGGAGCAAACAGG